rnacentral:rRNA from 1 species
GAUGAACGCUGGCGGCGUGCCUAAUACAUGCAAGUCGAGCGAACAGACGAGGAGCUUGCUCCUUUGACGUUAGCGGCGGACGGGUGAGUAACACGUAGGUAACCUACCUAUAAGACUGGGAUAACUUCGGGAAACCGGAGCUAAUACCGGAUAAUAUUUCGAACCGCAUGGUUCGAUAGUGAAAGAUGGCUUUGCUAUCACUUAUAGAUGGACCUGCGCCGUAUUAGCUAGUUGGUAAGGUAACGGCUUACCAAGGCAACGAUACGUAGCCGACCUGAGAGGGUGAUCGGCCACACUGGAACUGAGACACGGCCCAGACUCCUACGGGAGGCAGCAGUAGGGAAUCUUCCGCAAUGGGCGAAAGCCUGACGGAGCAACGCCGCGUGAGUGAUGAAGGUCUUCGGAUCGUAAAACUCUGUUAUUAGGGAAGAACAAACGUGUAAGUAACUGUGCACGUCUUGACGGUACCUAAUCAGAAGGCCACGGCUAACUACGUG